rnacentral:rRNA from 1 species
CUUACUGCGCGGCGACUCCUUCUACCCCUGUUUAUUUUACUGAACUACUGCUAGACCUAGUUGUCUAGUAGGCACAAACACAAGAUUUAUUCUUCUUAAAACUAUUGUCAUGAAUACAAACAAAAUAUUCAAAACUUUCAACAACGGAUCUCUUGGUUCUCGCAACGAUGAAGAACGCAGCGAAUUGCGAUAAGUAUUGUGAAUUGCAGAUUUUCGUGAAUCAUCGAAUCUUUGAACGCACAUUGCGCUCUCUGGUAUUCCGGAGAGCAUGCCUGUUUGAGCGUCAUUUCUCUCUCAAAAGCCUGGCUUUUGGUAUUGAGUGAUACUCCUCACAGGGUUAACUUGAAAUAGUUUGCUGGCGCUCCCUGGGUGUGCUGACUGCAUAAUGUAUUAGGUUCUACCGACUCAUUAGACAGAAAGUGUUAUCCCUGGGCUUUAACGGCGCCAGCUGCAAAAUCUACAAAAGUUUGACCUCAAAUCAGGUAGGACUACCCGC